AGAGUUUGAUCCUGGCUCAGAACGAACGCUGGCGGCGUGCCUAACACAUGCAAGUCGAACGCGAAAGGGGGCAACCCCCGGUAGCGUGGCAGACGGGUGAGUAACACGUGGGUAACCUACCCGGAGGUGGGGGAUAACCCUUCGAAAGGAGGGCUAAUACCGCAUGACAUCGCGAGGACCUCGGUCCUUGCGAUCAAAGCUGGCCUCUGUUUACAAGCUAGCGCCACUGGAGGGGCCCGCGCCCCAUUAGCUAGUUGGUGAGGUAACGGCUCACCAAGGCGACGAUGGGUAGCCGGCCUGAGAGGGCGACCGGCCACACUGGAACUGCGACACGGUCCAGACUCCUACGGGAGGCAGCAGUGAGGAAUCUUGCGCAAUGGGCGAAAGCCUGACGCAGCGACGCCGCGUGAAGGAUGAAGGUCUUCGGAUUGUAAACUUCUGUCGAGUGGGACGAAUGCCAUGAGGGCGAAUAACCCUCGUGGUUGACGGUACCGCUGGAGGAAGCCCCGGCUAACUCCGUGCCAGCAGCCGCGGUAAUACGGAGGGGGCCAGCGUUGUUCGGAAUCAUUGGGCGUAAAGGGCGCGUAGGCGGCCGAUCAAGUCGGAGGUGAAAUCCCUCGGCUCAACUGAGGAACUGCCUCCGAUACUGUUCGGCUUGAGUCCUGGAGAGGGUAGUGGAAUUCCGAGUGUAGCGGUGAAAUGCGUAGAGACUCGGAAGAACACCAGUGGCGAAGGCGGCUACCUGGACAGGUACUGACGCUGAAGCGCGAAAGCUAGGGGAGCAAACAGGAUUAGAUACC
rnacentral:rRNA from 1 species